rnacentral:rRNA from 1 species
CCAGACUCCUACGGGAGGCAGCAGUGAGGAAUAUUGGUCAAUGGUCGGGAGACUGAACCAGCCAAGCCGCGUGAGGGAUGAAGGUACAGAGUAUCGUAAACCUCUUUUGUCAGGGAACAAAGGCGGGGACGUGUCCCCGGAUGAGUGUACCUGAAGAAAAAGCAUCGGCUAACUCCGUGCCAGCAGCCGCGGUAAUACGUAGGGGGCAAGCGUUAUCCGGAUUUACUGGAUGUAAAGGGAGCGUAGGCGGCGAUGCAAGUCAGAAGUGAAAGCCCGGGGCUCAACUCCGGGACUGCUUUUGAAACUGUAUGGCUAGAUUGCAGGAGAGGCAAGUGGAAUUCCUAGUGUAGCGGUGAAAUGCGUAGAUAUUAGGAGGAACACCAGUGGCGAAGGCGGCUUGCUGGACUGUAAAUGACGCUGAGGCUCGAAAGCGUGGGGAGCAAACAGGAUUAGAUACCCCCGUAU